rnacentral:rRNA from 1 species
CAGCAGCCGCGGGAAUACGUAGGUGGCGAGCGUUGUCCGGAGUUAUUGGGCGUAAAGGGAGCGCAGGCGGGCAUGUAAGUCUUUCUUAAAAGUUCGGGGCUCAACCCCGUGAUGGGAAAGAAACUACAUGUCUUGAGUACAGGAGAGGAAAGCGGAAUUCCCAGUGUAGCGGUGAAAUGCGUAGAUAUUGGGAGGAACACCAGUGGCGAAGGCGGCUUUCUGGACUGCAACUGACGCUGAGGCUCGAAAGCCAGGGGAGCGAACGGGAUUAGAUACCCCAGUAGUCCCUGUCUCUUAUACC